rnacentral:rRNA from 1 species
GUUAAGCUACUAAGGGCGCACGGUGGAUGCCUAGGUGCUAGGAGCCGAUGAAGGACGGGACGAACACCGAUAUGCCUCGGCGAGUCGUAAGUAGACGCUGACCCGGGGAUUUCCGAAUGGGGGAACCCACCUUCCGUAAUGGGAAGGGACCUUCACCUGAAUUCAUAGGGUGAAUGGAGGCAGACCAGGGGAACUGAAACAUCUAAGUACCCUGAGGAAGAGAAAGCAACAGCGAUUUCCUGAGUAGCGGCGAGCGAAACGGAAACAGCCCAAACCGAAAGGUUUACCUUUCGGGGUUGUAGGACGUCUCACAUGGAGUGAGAAAAGAUGAGGAUAGGCGAACAGGUCUGGAAAGGCCGGCCAUAGGGUGUGACAGCCACGUAGCUAAAAUCCUCGUCUCUCCGAGACGGAUCCUGAGUACGGCGGGACACGAGAAAUCCCGUCGGAAUCCGGGAGGACCACCUCCCAAGGCUAAAUACUCCCUAGCAACCGAUAGUGAACCAGUACCGUGAGGGAAAGGUGAAAAGCACCCCGGAAGGGGAGUGAAAAAGAACCUGAAACCGUGUGCUUACAAGCAGUCGGAGCACGUUUAUGAAGUGUGACGGCGUGCCUUUUGUAGAAUGAACCGGCGAGUUACGAUUCCAUGCAAGGUUAAGCAGGAGAUGCGGAGCCGCAGCGAAAGCGAGUCUGAAUAGGGCGUUAAGUAUGGGGUUGUAGACCCGAAACCGAGUGAUCUACCCAUGUCCAGGGUGAAGUUCAGGUAACACUGAAUGGAGGCCCGAACCCACGCAGGUUGAAAACUGCGGGGAUGAGGUGUGGGUAGCGGAGAAAUUCCAAUCGAACUCGGAGAUAGCUGGUUCUCCCCGAAAUAGCUUUAGGGCUAGCCUUGAAGUCAGAGUACCGGAGGUAGAGCACUGAUUGGACGCGGGGUCCUCCACGGACUACCAACUUCAGUCAAACUCCGAAUGCCGGCUACUUAUCUUCAGGAGUCAGACUAUGAGUGAUAAGAUCCAUGGUCAAAAGGGAAACAGCCCAGACCAUCAGCUAAGGUCCCCAAGUAUACGUUAAGUGGGAAAGGAUGUGGAGUUGCUCAGACAACCAGGAUGUUGGCUUAGAAGCAGCCACCAUUUAAAGAGUGCGUAAUAGCUCACUGGUCGAGUGACUCUGCGCCGAAAAUGUACCGGGGCUAAACGUAUCACCGAAGCUAUGGAUUGACACCUAACGGUGUCAGUGGUAGGGGAGCGUUCUAAGGGCAUUGAAGCAUGACCGUGAGGACAUGUGGAGCGCUUAGAAGUGAGAAUGCCGGUGUAAGUAGCGAAAAGAGGGGUGAGAAUCCCCUCCGCCGAAAACCUAAGGUUUCCUGAGGAAGGCUCGUCCUCUCAGGGUAAGUCGGGACCUAAGCCGAGGCUGACAAGCGUAGGCGAUGGACAACAGGUUGAAAUUCCUGUACCACCUCCAUUCCGUUUGAGCAAUGGGAUGACGCAGGAGGAUAGGGAGAGCGCACUGCUGGAUAUGUGCGUCCAAGCCGUGAGGCUGGUGAAUAGGCAAAUCCGUUCACCAUCAGGCCAGGCGGUGAUGGCGAGGGAAAUUACAGUACCGAAGUCCCUGAUUUCACACUGCCAAGAAAAGUCUCUAGUGAGGAAUGAGGUGCCCGUACCGCAAACCGACACAGGUAGGUGAGGAGAAAAUCCUAAGGCGCGCGAGAGAACUCUUGCUAAGGAACUCGGCAAAAUGACCCCGUAACUUCGGGAGAAGGGGUGCCUCGGUAGGGUGUUAAAGCCUGAGGAGGCCGCAGAGAAUAGGCCCAAGCGACUGUUUAGCAAAAACACAGGUCUCUGCUAAGCCGUAAGGCGAUGUAUAGGGGCUGACGCCUGCCCGGUGCUGGAAGGUUAAGGGGAUGGGUUAGCGCAAGCGAAGCUUUGAACCGAAGCCCCAGUAAACGGCGGCCGUAACUAUAACGGUCCUAAGGUAGCGAAAUUCCUUGUCGGGUAAGUUCCGACCCGCACGAAAGGCGUAACGAUUUGGGCACUGUCUCGGCAAGAGACUCGGUGAAAUCGUAAUACCAGUGAAGAUGCUGGUUACCCGCGACAAGACGGAAAGACCCCAUGGAGCUUUACUGUAGCUUGAUAUUGGAUUCUGGUUCGAUUUGUACAGGAUAGGUGGGAGCCUAAGAAGCCGGACCGCCAGGUUCGGUGGAGGCGUUGGUGGGAUACCACCCUGAUCGGAUCGGAAUUCUAACCCACAGCCGUGAUCCGGCUGGGGAACAGUGUCAGGUGGGCAGUUUGACUGGGGCGGUCGCCUCCUAAAAGGUAACGGAGGCGCCCAAAGGUUCCCUCAGAAUGGUUGGAAAUCAUUCGUAGAGUGUAAAGGCAGAAGGGAGCUUGACUGCGAGACCUACAAGUCGAGCAGGGACGAAAGUCGGGCUUAGUGAUCCGGUGGCACUGCGUGGAAGGGCCAUCGCUCAACGGAUAAAAGCUACCCUGGGGAUAACAGGCUUAUCUCCCCCAAGAGUCCACAUCGACGGGGAGGUUUGGCACCUCGAUGUCGGCUCAUCGCAUCCUGGGGCUGUAGUAGGUCCCAAGGGUUGGGCUGUUCGCCCAUUAAAGCGGUACGCGAGCUGGGUUCAGAACGUCGUGAGACAGUUCGGUCCCUAUCUGUCGUGGGCGUAGGAAAUUUGAGAGGAGCUGUCCUUAGUACGAGAGGACCGGGAUGGACACACCGCUGGUGUACCAGUUGUUCCGCCAGGAGCAUCGCUGGGUAGCUAUGUGUGGCAGGGAUAAGCGCUGAAGGCAUCUAAGCGCGAAGCCCCCCUCAAGAUGAGAUUUCCCAUCACAUUAAGUGAGUAAGAUCCCUCCGAGAUGAGGAGGUAGAUAGGUCCGGUGUGGAAGUGCAGCAAUGCAUGGAGCUGACGGAUACUAAUCGAUCGAGGGCUUAAC